rnacentral:misc_RNA from 1 species
AAAGUCGUAACAAGGUUUCCGUAGGUGAACCUGCGGAAGGAUCAUUACUGAUUUAUGCGAACCUCGCGUCAGCGAGGAUCUCGCGUUCGUAUUUAAAACACCCACUCUUAAAAUUUAUAAUCAUGUAAAUAAAUAAAAUAAAAUAAAAGAUCACUUUCAACAACGGAUCUCUUGGCUCUC